CCAUACAGUAGUCAUUCACUCGCGUCAUCCAGUGUCGGUCGAGUGGUCCGGUGCUCCGCGUGCGACUAUCAUCGUGUGCCGCGUGCUUGUGUACGCGUCUUUUCGUGCGUGUGUACGACUGUUGUGCGCAUCGGUCCGUGGGGCGCGCUCGUUACGUAUUCUCUCGUCGUAAUCACAUUCCUCGUUUUCUCUCUCUCUCUCUCUCCCCACAAUACUGUUCCCCGUCGUCUCUUAUCAGUAGCGUAAAAGGUGUCCGACGGGCAGUACCGCGACCGCUGCCGAGAAUAGACCGACGGGUUGGGUGGCCGAACAAUGUGUUAAACGUAUAUGAAAUAUAAUUAAUCGUUCGCUAAAAAACACCCCGCGUACACACGUGCACGCAUGCCGUCGCCGCGGUGAAGAUAUCAAUUUAUUCCGCCGCAGUGUCAGUGCCCGUUUUUUCGUUCUCGCGACCGUUGAUUUCGUCGUGACCGGUCGUCCGCAUCGCAGUAAAUGAGAACUAGACCCGCGCACCGGAAUUCGUGGAUCAACCGCCGCUGACGUACUGUUAUGGCUGUGGUCGGCCCGAGCCGACACUCGAGGGUGUCAAUGUCGCUGAUGCAGGGCUCAACCAAUGGUCCGGUCGGCAACCACCAGCAGGCCAGCGCUUCGCAACAGUUUUUCCAUGCUCAACAGCAGUCCCAUCACGCUGCACAAUCGGCCACCGCACAUUCUGUAGACUACAAGCCCGACAGACCGAUUGGAUAUGGUGCCUUCGGAGUCGUCUGGGCUGUAACAGAUCCACGAGACGGUCGGAGAGUUGCACUAAAAAAACUUCCAAAUGUUUUUCAAUCAUUAGUCUCCUCAAAACGAGUGUUUAGAGAACUAAAAAUGUUGUGCAAUUUUAAGCAUGAAAAUGUUUUGUCCGCCCUUGACAUUCUGCAACCGCCUCAUUUGGAUUUCUUUCAAGAAAUAUACGUUAUUACUGAGCUAAUGCAGAGUGACUUACACAAAAUUAUAGUGUCGCCACAGCAGCUAUCACCGGACCAUAUAAAAGUUUUUCUGUACCAGAUUUUAAGAGGUCUCAAGUACCUUCACUCAGCACGAAUAUUGCACAGAGACAUCAAACCUGGCAAUCUACUCGUCAACAGUAAUUGUAUUUUAAAGAUAUGCGACUUUGGUCUGGCCCGAGUAGAAGAACCGGACGAGACGAAGCACAUGACUCAAGAAGUGGUUACCCAGUACUACAGGGCGCCGGAAAUAUUGAUGGGCGCCAAGCACUACACCGCGGCCAUAGACGUGUGGAGCGUCGGUUGUAUAUUCGCCGAGCUAGUCACCCGGCGGAUACUGUUCCAAGGCCAAGACACGGUUCAACAAUUGGAGCUCAUAACGGACUUGCUCGGCACGCCGACGAUGGAAGACAUGGCGCACGCGUGCCCGGCCGCCCGUUCCCACAUGCUCAUACGGCGCAUGAAGAAACCGUCCAUGUCGUUGCUGUACUCCCUGUCAUCGCUGAUGACCCACGAGGCGGUUCACCUGAUUUCGCAGAUGCUCGUCUUCAACCCGGACAAACGUAUGUCCGUCAUGGACGCGCUGGUUCAUCCGUACAUAGACGAAGGCCGGCUCAGGUACCACAGCUGCAUGUGCAAGUGCUGUUUCACCGUGCCGUUGACGGGCCUCAGACAUUUUUGUAUGGACUACGAACCGAUCGCGCCGCAGACGUUCGACGACAAAUGGGAAAAGAAGCUGUCGAACGUGCAACAAGUCAAAGAGGAACUUCACAAGUUUAUCGGCGACCAGUUAAGUAGUCACCGUGUACCAUUGUGCAUAAAUCCACAGUCGGCAGCAUUUAAAAGUUUCUCGAGGUAAGGCUGUGAGGAACAUUCGACUCUUCUGAAUCACCAAAUAUACUACACCUCGACUAACCGAAAAUUGGCUCUUCCCCGAAAAAAUUGUCGACCUUCGCAGUGAAUAAUCUCUUACGAUGAUCUAUCGAAAUGUUUCAUGAUUACAAGAAUAGUCUCACUCCGACUGUGCAUUAUAGCAAAAAUAAAUCCAAGUUGUUUA
rnacentral:misc_RNA from 1 species